CGAGAGAGACCAGAGUCACCGGGAACUGUGUAUGCCAAGGUGAGUGGAGCCCUCGAUUAUGCCCUGACUACUGUUCCAAGAGACAUGCAGGUCUGAAUGGAUUCAGCACUCGUGGUUCUUCCUUUUGGCAGUCUGUGACCAGUGCUGACUACAGUGACCAGACAGCUUUCAAAACCCAAUGUCCAAAGAGCCCACAGAGCAGCUUUUGAGGAGCUUGUGAAGACAGUCAUGUGGAGCAGCAGACUCUCCUAAGGCUGAACUUAGGCAGAGCAAAAGCUAUUUUAUGCUUCAGAAUCUGGGACAACCAGAACAUACAAAAUCCUAUCCGGACUUGAGCAAGAACAUGGAAUCCAUUCCUGAUGCAUCCACUUACACUGAACAUACUGAGACUGUCUUUAGAGAG